rnacentral:lncRNA from 10 species
UUCGCAGCGUCACGCCCUCCGGGGCCGUGGCGGCGACGGCGGUGCGUAGCUUACUCACAGGGGCGGCCCGUAUCCCUCCGCCGCCGGCGCGGCUCGGCCCUCCCUCCCCUGGCCCGCCAAUCCCCGCGCCUCCCGACCUGCCCCUCGGUCGGGCCCACCCCGUGCUCCGACGGCCCCACCCCGGCGGCGCAGCCCGCCCGCCCGCGCGUCCCUCGGUCCACCUGCAGCAGGGAGGAAGACAGGCAAUCCCUCCGGCUGUCCGACCAAGAGAGGCCGGCCGAGCCCGAGGCUUGGGCUUUUGCUUUCUGGCGGAGGGAUCUGCGGCGGUUUAGGAGGCGGCGCUGAUCCUGGGAGGAAGAGGCAGCUACGGCGGCGGCGGCGGUGGCGGCUAGGGCGGCGGCGAAUAAAGGGGCCGCCGCCGGGUGAUGCGGUGACCGCUGCGGCAGGCCCAGGAGCUGAGUGGGCCCCGGCCCUCAGCCCGUCCCGCCGGACCCGCUUUCCUCAACUCUCCAUCUUCUCCUGCCGACCGAGAUCGCCGAGGCGGCCUCAGGCUCCCUAGCCCCUUCCCCGUCCCUUCCCCGCCCCCGUCCCCGCCCCGGGGGCCGCCGCCACCCGCCUCCCACCAUGGCUCUGAAGAGAAUCCACAAGUCCCUCCACAAAACCGCCUGAGCUCGGGCUGACAGAGGAAGCCGUUUUGCCCGAUCCACAAGUAUAUCCUGAGUUCACUUACCUCUUGGGUGGCAGCACACAUCGGUCCACCCUGCUUGUCCAGAAACUGUUAAGAGUUGGAAGUUCAGAAGAAAAAAAAAAGGUGAC